GCGUGUGUGAAGAAGGCCUUCGGGUUGUAAAGCACUUUCAGUCGUGAGGAAGGUAGUGUAGUUAAUAGCUGCAUUAUUUGACGUUAGCGACAGAAGAAGCACCGGCUAACUCCGUGCCAGCAGCCGCGGUAAUACGGAGGGUGCGAGCGUUAAUCGGAAUUACUGGGCGUAAAGCGCAUGCAGGUGGUUUGUUAAGUCAGAUGUGAAAGCCCGGGGCUCAACCUCGGAAUUGCAUUUGAAACUGGCAGACUAGAGUACUGUAGAGGGGGGUAGAAUUUCAGGUGUAGCGGUGAAAUGCGUAGAGAUCUGAAGGAAUACCGGUGGCGAAGGCGGCCCCCUGGACAGAUACUGACACUCAGAUGCGAAAGCGUGGGGAGCAAACAGGAUUAGAUACCCUGGUAGUCCACGCCGUAAACGAUGUCUACUUGGAGGUUGUGGCCUUGAGCCGUGGCUUUCGGAGCUAACGCGUUAAGUAGACCGCCUGGGGAGUACGGUCGCAAGAUUAAA
rnacentral:rRNA from 1 species